AUUGAACGCUGGCGGCAGGCUUAACACAUGCAAGUCGAGCGGAGAUGAGGUGCUUGCACCUUAUCUUAGCGGCGGACGGGUGAGUAAUGCUUAGGAAUCUGCCUAUUAGUGGGGGACAACAUUCCGAAAGGAAUGCUAAUACCGCAUACGUCCUACGGGAGAAAGCAGGGGAUCUUCGGACCUUGCGCUAAUAGAUGAGCCUAAGUCGGAUUAGCUAGUUGGUGGGGUAAAGGCCUACCAAGGCGACGAUCUGUAGCGGGUCUGAGAGGAUGAUCCGCCACGCUGGGACUGAGACACGGCCCAGACUCCUACGGGAGGUAGCAGUGGGGAAUAUUGGACAAUGGGGGGAACCCUGAUCCAGCCAUGCCGCGUGUGUGAAGAAGGCCUUAUGGUUGUAAAGCACUUUAAGCGAGGAGGAGGCUACUGAGACUAAUACUCUUGGAUAGUGGACGUUACUCGCAGAAUAAGCACCGGCUAACUCUGUGCCAGCAGCCGCAGUAA
rnacentral:rRNA from 1 species